rnacentral:rRNA from 1 species
GUAGUUUGACUCCGUGGCUCAGGACGAACGCUGGCGGCGUGCUUAACACAUGCAAGUCGAGCGGAAAGGCCCCUUCGGGGGUACUCGAGCGGCGAACGGGUGAGUAACACGUGAGUAACCUGCCCCAGGCUUCGGGAUAACCCUCGGAAACGGGGGCUAAUACCGGAUAUGACCUGCUGCCGCAUGGUGGUGGGUGGAAAGUUUUUUCGGCCUGGGAUGGGCUCGCGGCCUAUCAGCUUGUUGGUGGGGUGAUGGCCUACCAAGGCGAUGACGGGUAGCCGGCCUGAGAGGGCGACCGGCCACACUGGGACUGAGACACGGCCCAGACUCCUACGGGAGGCAGCAGUGGGGAAUAUUGCACAAUGGGCGGAAGCCUGAUGCAGCGACGCCGCGUGAGGGAUGAAGGCCUUCGGGUUGUAAACCUCCUUCAGCAGGGACGAAGCGCAAGUGACGGUACCUGCAGAAGAAGCGCCGGCCAACUACGUG